rnacentral:lncRNA from 1 species
GAAGUGGGCAGAUGUUUAUUUUAUAAAUUUCUAUACCGCUUUAUAUUUUUAAGAAAAAUCUCAAAGUGGUUUACAGAAUAUUAAAUCAAUAAAACAUAAAUAAGACAGUCUGAAGAAAGUCAAAUGUAGAGAAUAAAGUCAAAGCAACAUAACAGAAAACUUAAAUAUUAUCUUAAAGAUUUCAAAAUAGAACAUUACAAAGGAGGUCAACUACAGAAUACAUAUUUAACAUUGUAGGGCUGGUGAGUGUGGGCCCAGCCCCCUAGGCCAGGUGGAAAGGGCCUUGCAGGGAGCGGCCUCCAUGCCCCACAGCCGGGUGAUGUUCCUCCGGCCUCAUGAGGAGCCUCUUCAGUGGGGCUGGUGAGUGUGGGCCCAGCCCCCUAGGCCAGGUGGAAAGGGCCUUGCAGGGAGCGGCCUCCAUGCCCCACAGCCGGGCGAUGUUCCUCCGGCCUCAUGAGGAGCCUCUUCAGUGGGGCUGGUGAGUGUGGGCCCAGCCCCCUAGGCCACGUGGAAAGGGCCUUGCAGGGAGCGGCCUCCACACCUCACAGCCGGGUAAUGUUCCUCCGGCCUCAUGAGGAGCCUCUUCAGUGGGGCUGGUGAGUGUGGGCCCAGCCCCCUAGGCCAGGUGGAAAGGGCCUUGCAGGGAGCGGCCUCCAUGCCCCACAGCCGGGCGAUGUUCCUCCGGCCUCAUGAGGAGCCUCUUCAGUGGGGCUGGUGAGUGUGGGCCCAGCCCCCUAGGCCAAGUGGAAAGGGCCUUGCAGGGAGCGGCCUCCACACCUCACAGCCGGGUAAUGUUCCUCCGGCCUCAUGAGGAGCCUCUUCAGUGGGGCUGGUGAGUGUGGGCCCUGCCCCUAGGCCAGGUGGAGAGGACCUUGCAGGGAGUGGCCUUCACACACACAGCCAGGCGAUGUUCCUCCGGCCUCAUGAGGAGCCUCUUCAGUAGGGCUGGUGAGUUUGGGCCUCGCCCCCUAGGCCAAGUAGAAAGGGCCUUGCAGGGAGCGGCCUCCACACCUCACAGCCGGGUAAUGUUCCUCCGGCCUCAUGAGGAGCCUCUUCAGUGGGGCUGGUGAGUGUGGGCCCAGCCCCUAGGCCAGGUGGAAAGGGCCUUGCAGGGAGCGGCCUCCAUGCCCCACAGCCGGGCGAUGUUCCUCCGGCCUCAUGAGGAGCCUCUUCAGUGGGGCUGGUGAGUGUGGGCCCAGCCCCUAGGCCAAGUGGAAAGGGCCUUGCAGGGAGCGGCCUCCACACCUCACAGCCGGGUAAUGUUCCUCCGGCCUCAUGAGGAGCCUCUUCAGUGGGGCUGGUGAGUGUGGGCCCUGCCCCCUAGGCCAAGUGGAAAGGGCCUUGCAGGGAGCGGCCUCCAUGCCCCACAGCCGGGCGAUGUUCCUCCGGCCUCAUGAGGAGCCUCUUCAGUGGGGCUGGUGAGUGUGGGCCCUGCCCCUUAGGCUAGGUAGAAAGGGCCUUGUAGGGAGAGGCCUCCACACCUCGCAGCUGGGCGAUGUUCCUAUAGGUGGAGCGCUACAACUCAAACUUUUGACUAGGACUGCUGUGA